GUCCCCAUCGUCUAGGGGUUAGGACUCCGGCCCUUCAAGCCGGCAGCACGGGUUCGAAUCCCGUUGGGGACGCCG
rnacentral:tRNA from 1 species